rnacentral:rRNA from 2 species
AAUGAUCAGCUUCCAAUCGUCCA